rnacentral:rRNA from 1 species
GAUGAACGCUGGCGGCGUGCGUAAUACAUGCAAGUCGAGCGAACAGACGAGGAGCUUGCUCCUUUGACGUUAGCGGCGGACGGGUGAGUAACACGUGGGUAACCUACCUAUAAGACUGGGAUAACUUCGGGAAACCGGAGCUAAUACCGGAUAAUAUUUCGAACCGCAUGGUUCGAUAGUGAAAGAUGGCUCUGCUAUCACUUAUAGAUGGACCUGCGCCGUAUUAGCUAGUUGGUAAGGUAACGGCUUACCAAGGCAACGAUACGUAGCCGACCUGAGAGGGUGAUCGGCCACACUGGAACUGAGACACGGUCCAGACUCCUACGGGAGGCAGCAGUAGGGAAUCUUCCGCAAUGGGCGAAAGCCUGACGGAGCAACGCCGCGUGAGUGAUGAAGGUCUUCGGAUCGUAAAACUCUGUUAUUAGGGAAGAACAAACGUGUAAGUAACUGUGCACGUCUUGACGGUACCUAAUCAGAAAGCCACGGCUAACUACGUG